rnacentral:rRNA from 1 species
GAUGAACGCUGGCGGCGUGCCUAAUACAUGCAAGUCGAGCGAAAAGACGCGGAGCUUGCUCCUUUGACGUUAGCGGAGGACGGGUGAGUAACACGAGGAUAACCUACUUAUAUGACUGGGAACAUCUCGGGAAACCGGAGAAAAUACCGGAUAAUCUAUUGAAGCGCAUGGGUCAAUAGUGAAAGACGGCUUUGCUGUCACUACUCGAUGCAUAUGGGCCGGUGUAGCUAGUUGGUAGGGUAACGGCUUAUCACGGCAACGAUGCGUAUCCGACCUGCCUGGGGGAUCGGCGGCACGGGAGCUGAGACACGGUCCAGGCUCCUACGAGAGGCAGCAGUAGGGAAUCUGCCGCAGUAGGCGGAAACCUGACGGAGCAACGCCACGUGAGUGAUGAAAGUCUUCGGAUCGUAAAACUCUGUUAUUAGGGAAGAACAAAUUUGUAAGUAACUAUGCACGUCUUGACGGUACCUAAUCAGAAAGCCACGGCUAACUACGUG